rnacentral:lncRNA from 1 species
CUCUCCCUGUCCCUCUCCCCUCAGCCCAGGGACCUGCCGUUCUCGCCUGGUGAACAGAGCCAUUUGGCGACAUGCUUUUGGAGCUCUUAAGAAAUCUGGCCUGGAGAAGAAAACAUUAAAUGCUGCAGAGGAUAAUUUCAUAAAAUUCACACGACAGUACAAGCAGAAUUGAAGGCUCAAAAAAAGACUGCAAUAAUAUACAUCCCCAUUUAAAUUGUGUAAGUACCAAACUGAAUAUGCAAUUAACAAACCUGGA